rnacentral:rRNA from 1 species
GAUGAACGCUGGCGGCGUGCCUAAUACAUGCAAGUCGAGCGCGAGAGUGAGGAGCUUGCUCCUCAUGAUCGAGCGGCGGACGGGUGAGUAACACGUAGGCAACCUACCCUUGAGAUUGGGAUAACUACCGGAAACGGUAGCUAAUACCGGAUACGACUUUUCCACAUAAGUGGAAUGGUUAAAAGGCGGAUUUAUCUGCCGCUCAUGGAUGGGCCUGCGGUGCAUUAGCUAGUUGGUGAGGUAGUGGCUCACCAAGGCGACGAUGCAUAGCCGACCUGAGAGGGUGAUCGGCCACACUGGGACUGAGACCCGGCCCAGACUCCUACGGGAGGCAGCAGUAGGGGAUCUUCCGCAAUGGACGCAAGUCUGACGGAGCAACGCCGCGUGAGUGAUGAAGGGUUUCGGCUCGUAAAACUCUGUUGUUAAGGAAGAACACUUGAGGUAGUAACUGGCCUUGAGAUGACGGUACUUAACCAGAAAGCCACGGCUAACUACGUGCCAGCAGCCGCCGUAA